rnacentral:misc_RNA from 1 species
UCAAACUUGGUCAUUUAGAGGAAGUAAAAGUCGUAACAAGGUUUCCGUAGGUGAACCUGCGGAAGGAUCAUUAAUGAACUUGGUUGGGUUGUUGCUGGCAUUUUCAAAGCAAAUGUGCACACCCUUCUCCAUUUCAACCACCUGUGCACUUUCUGUAGAUGGUGAGACAACACUCUCGAAAAUGCUUCCUUUUUCGGAUUUGUAGAAUUGCUGUGUGAAAGCCAGCUUUUCUUGUGUUUCUAGUCUAUGUUUUUUGCAAUAUACCCCAUAAUAGAAAGUUUGCUAUAUAGGCUUUUUGUGCCUUUUAAAAACAAUACAACUUUCAACAACGGAUCUCUUGGCUCUCGCAUCGAUGAAGAACGCAGC